UUGGUUUAGGAUUUGGUUAGGAUUUGGUUUGGGAUUUAGGAUUUGGAUUAGAGUUUGAUUUAGGAUUUAGGAUUUGGUUAGGGUUUGAUUUAGGAUUUAGGAUUUGGAUUAGGAUUUGGUUUAGGAUUUGGUUAGGGUUUGUUUUAGAAUUUAGGAUUUUAUUAAGAUUUAAGAUUCAAUUAGUUUUGGCCUAAAGUUUGAAUGAAGUUCAAUAGGAUUUUAAUUAGAAUUAAAUUAAGAUUGAAUUGAAAUGUAUUUGAAUGAUAUUUGUGUUUUUUU
rnacentral:lncRNA from 1 species